ACUUUCAACAACGGAUCUCUUGGUUCUGGCAUCGAUGAAGAACGCAGCAAAAUGCGAUAAGUAAUGUGAAUUGCAGAAUUCAGUGAAUCAUCGAAUCUUUGAACGCACAUUGCGCCCGCCAGUAUUCUGGCGGGCAUGCCUGUUCGAGCGUCAUUUCAACCCUCAAGCACAGCUUGGUGUUGGGACUCGCGUUAAUUCGCGUUCCUCAAAUUGAUUGGCGGUCACGUCGAGCUUCCAUAGCGUAGUAGUAAAACCCUCGUUACUGGUAAUCGUCGCGGCCACGCCGUUAAACCCCAACUUCUGAAUGUUGACCUCGGAUCAGGUAGGAAUACCCGCUGAACUUAAGCAUAUCAAUAAGCGGAGGAAAAGAAACCAACAGGGAUUGCCCUAGUAACGGCGAGUGAAGCGGCAACAGCUCAAAUUUGAAAUCUGGCUCUCGGGCCCGAGUUGUAAUUUGUAGAGGAUACUUUUGAUGCGGUGCCUUCCGAGUUCCCUGGAACGGGACGCCAUAGAGGGUGAGAGCCCCGUCUGGUUGGAUGCCAAAUCUCUGUAAAGUUCCUUCAACGAGUCGAGUAGUUUGGGAAUGCUGCUCUAAAUGGGAGGUAUAUGUCUUCUAAAGCUAAAUACCGGCCAGAGACCGAUAGCGCACAAGUAGAGUGAUCGAAAGAUGAAAAGCACUUUGAAAAGAGAGUUAAAAAGUACGUGAAAUUGUUGAAAGGGAAGCGUUUAUGACCAGACUUGGGCUUGGUUAAUCAUCUGGGGUUCUCCCCAGUGCACUUUUCCAGUCCAGGCCAGCAUCAGUUUUCCCCGGGGGAUAAAGGCGGCGGGAAUGUGGCUCUCUUCGGGGAGUGUUAUAGCCCACCGUGUAAUACCCUGGGGGGGACUGAGGUUCGCGCAUCUGCAAGGAUGCUGGCGUAAUGGUCAUCAACGACCCGUCUUGAAACACGGACCAAGGAGUCGUCUUCGUAUGCGAGUGUUCGGGUGUCAAACCCCUACGCGUAAUGAAAGUGAACGCAGGUGAGAGCUUCGGCGCAUCAUCGACCGAUCCUGAUGUUCUCGGAUGGAUUUGAGUAAGAGCAUACGGGGCCGGACCCGAAAGAAGGUGAACUAUGCCUGUAUAGGGUGAAGCCAGAGGAAACUCUGGUGGAGGCUCGCAGCGGUUCUGACGUGCAAAUCGAUCGUCAAAUAUGGGCAUGGGGGCGAAAGACUAAUCGAACCUUCUAGUAGCUGGUUUCCGCCGAAGUUUCCCUCAGGAUAGCAGUGUUGAACUCAGUUUUAUGAGGUAAAGCGAAUGAUUAGGGACUCGGGGGCGCUAUUUAGCCUUCAUCCAUUCUCAAACUUUAAAUAUGUAAGAAGCUCUUGUUGCUUAAUUGAACGUGAGCAUUCGAAUGUAUCAACACUAGUGGGCCAUUUUUGGUAAGCAGAACUGGCGAUGCGGGAUGAACCGAACGCGAGGUUAAGGUGCCAGAGUAGACGCUCAUCAGACACCACAAAAGGUGUUAGUACAUCUUGACAGCAGGACGGUGGCCAUGGAAGUCGGAAUCCGCUAAGGACUGUGUAACAACUCACCUGCCGAAUGUACUAGCCCUGAAAAUGGAUGGCGCUCAAGCGUCUCACCCAUACCUCGCCCUCAGGGUAGAAACGAUGCCCUGAGGAGUAGGCGGACGUGGAGGUCAGUGACGAAGCCUAGGGCGUGAGCCCGGGUUGAACGGCCUCUAGUGCAGAUCUUGGUGGUAGUAGCAAAUACUUCAAUGAGAACUUGAAGGACCGAAGUGGGGAAAGGUUCCAUGUGAACAGCGGUUGGACAUGGGUUAGUCGAUCCUAAGCCAUAGGGAAGUUCCGUUUCAAAGGUGCACUUUGCACCGUCUGGCGAAAGGGAAGCCGGUCAAUAUUCCGGCACCUGGAUGUGGGUUUUGCGCGGCAACGCAACUGAACGUGGAGACGACGGUUCUCUUUUCUUCUUAACAGU
rnacentral:rRNA from 1 species